GCGACCCAGGUCAGGCG
rnacentral:rRNA from 1 species